UUGAGCAGGGGGUUGGACUAGAUGACCUCCUGAGGUCUCUUCCAACCCUAAUCUUCUAUGAAAUGUCUCUCUCCUUUGGCCUCUCCAACAUUUUCUUGAUGCUUCUCAUUUUCAGUCAACACUGGUGACUGAACACCUUCAUUCCCCUCCCACCAAACCUUGUCUGGCUUUUGCCAAGAUGCUCUGAAGGGAUCGUUGUCCCAGCAUUACAAUCAGCUUAAUUAUAAAUCCAUUUAAAUGCCAAAUUCCUGACCUCCCUGGAUUCUAUCACUUCCUGAGGAGACCUCACUCUCUGAAUCCUGUGUAACUUCUGAGAUCUGGAUUGGUGAUGUCUGAGCCACUUCAGAAAUGGAUGGUGAACUUCCCAAACCACCUCCAUUAUGCAUUCCAUCCACCAGGAACAGUCAAUGUUUCCAUUCUUCACAGUUUUUUUUUUAAAUCAGCUAACAUAAUGUGCCUUUACCAAGAUGGAGAAAUUUCUUUCUCUGAACCCCAAAAUAUCAGCCAGAUUGUUUUUUAAAUGCAUCCUGAGAGUCCUUGCCAAUACAGCUAGGGAAAUGAAAGUAUUUUAGAUUAUUAAGCCAUAGGGGACAACUUAGGGACCUAAGCUUCAGGUCUGAAAAUACAUAGACAGGCUUUUAUCUGGCAGGGCUAACUAAGCCCGUUGUCUUUCUGCUUCAGAAAGACUGAUCUCCAUGCAGUAUAUAAUGGGGAGGUCUUUUUGGAUGAGAUCUUGAAAAACUGGCUGCUCUGCGUGGAUAUUAAAGCUCUCCUGGCCCUUUUUGUAAGGGCCUGUGUUUGCCACAGUGUCCUUAGGCAAAAUUUCCCCUUCUCCCUCGGGGGUAUGUUAUGCUGAACACAACUGUCUGCCUCGCUUAGUGCCAGCUGUCUGCUGGAUGGGUGGUUCAUCUUAGCAAUCACUCAAGAGAUCCCAGAAUUUACUCUGCUUCCCAGACCCCUUUCUGUUGCAGUUUUAGUAGGACAAAAUGGCCCUUCCCUUGUAGAGUUCCAGUGCCAAGGAGUGCUGCUGGGCCCAGAUGGAUCACGUACUCUUGAGAACUGAAACAGCUGAUACAAUUAUUUGACUCCAAAAGGUAUGUCAGCUUCAAGGGCGAUGAGUCUUACUGGGAAUGUCCCCAUUUUGCAGGACUGCAACACCCUGCUAAGCAUUCACCAGAGCACUUUACCAAACCAACCCUGUUAAUAAAUGGAAGACUAUUGACUCCCAACUGGGACCAUCUGCCAGUGAGAGAAUGUAAAUUGACUCUGAAUUGGGACCACCUGUGAGCGACUGCCUUUUGCUCAUGUGAUCGCCUGAGUGCGUUCCUGCUGAUGGCAGGCUGAGGCCAUCUGGUGAGGUUUGGGGAGUGUGUAGUUGUUAAACUGAGCUGGUGAGGCCUUAGCUCCCUGAACACAAACGGCCGAGGUUCUGCCACCUUGUCCAGUGUGUUUAUCGAGAGCUUUACUAAACAAAGCCUAGGAGUGAGUGGAUUCCUAUUGAUUGCUGCUUGGGAUCCUUGGGUGAGUUUCUGUAACUGUCGCUAUGUAAAACUGAGUUGGUGUGGCCAUAAUAAUAAUACCACCACCUAGCUCUUGUGUAGUGCUAAUCACAGACCUGGAAUCUCAGAGGAGCCGAAAAAUACCCACCAGCAGUGAACCGUAGCUGAGCUGGUAAACGAUGGGGGAACGGCAAGGAGCUUAAGGCAGUUUGGACAAAGUGCAGGACUUGCAAUGUUCUGUACAGCCCUGAAGCAGGAGGUUCCUGGCAGAGGACACUUGUCGAUCCAUCCCAGGCUGAACUUGUUGAUCUGAUGCUCCUCUGUGGACUCAGGCUUUAACGUGAGUGAGAUACAAGAUGACACUUUCCAUGCUCCAGCUCCUCUCCUGUCCUCACUUGCUCACCAGCCAGCGGCAGGCAGUGUCCGUGUCUAGCGGGCCUAACAGCAGCAGAGGUAUGGCUUGGCGUAACUACCCAUCCUUGGUUCCAGCAGGCCCCAUAGCAGCUGACGUGUCGCCCAGCUGUCUGCAGAGGGUGUCCCAGCAACAGGCCUGACACACUAAUGCACUAAUUACCAGUAAUAAUAGAAACAAAGGCCAGGACACGCAAUGCACAAGAACCGGAAGACAAGUCUGGCUGGACUAACUCAGCCCUCCCAAAACAAAUGCAAAGGAAAAACAUCAGUAGGUUACCUCCACUGACGUAUGGUCAGGAAUCUGACUGGUCCUAUGGUGAACGGGGGAAGGCACCAGCUUGAAACCUUGGCCUUUUAGGCAAGAACUGUCAUAACCAAAGAGCUGGAAAUGAGUUAAAAGCUGAGACUCUGACUGAAGGGCCAGAGAGUGAGAGGCACGAACUGCAAGGGUGCAGCUGCAGCCAGCUCAGUACUGCGGGGAUGUGACAGACGAAGUGGGGGAUUCCUACACUGGCAAGGAAAGGCGACUGCAUGGGGAUGAGAAUGUGUGUACAGGCCUUUUGUUGCUUUAACCCAUUUCCUCUCUGUUGUAUUCCUCUGGAUAAAUACAUCGUACUUGGUUUGGAA